rnacentral:rRNA from 5 species
ACGGGUGAGUAAUGCCUAGGAAUCUGCCUGGUAGUGGGGGAUAACGUUCGGAAACGGACGCUAAUACCGCAUACGUCCUACGGGAGAAAGCAGGGGACCUUCGGGCCUUGCGCUAUCAGAUGAGCCUAGGUCGGAUUAGCUAGUUGGUGGGGUAAUGGCUCACCAAGGCGACGAUCCGUAACUGGUCUGAGAGGAUGAUCAGUCACACUGGAACUGAGACACGGUCCAGACUCCUACGGGAGGCAGCAGUGGGGAAUAUUGGACAAUGGGCGAAAGCCUGAUCCAGCCAUGCCGCGUGUGUGAAGAAGGUCUUCGGAUUGUAAAGCACUUUAAGUUGGGAGGAAGGGCAGUUACCUAAUACGUGAUUGUUUUGACGUUACCGACAGAAUAAGCACCGGCUAACUCUGUGCCAGCAGCCGCGGUAAUACAGAGGGUGCAAGCGUUAAUCGGAAUUACUGGGCGUAAAGCGCGCGUAGGUGGUUUGUUAAGUUGGAUGUGAAAUCCCCGGGCUCAACCUGGGAACUGCAUUCAAAACUGACUGACUAGAGUAUGGUAGAGGGUGGUGGAAUUUCCUGUGUAGCGGUG